UCAGCAACAAUUUAGCCUCCAACACACCUGCAAACUAUUUGGUGCUCGUUUGAUCCUGAAUCCAGGUUUGGCACUAAGGUUUUCUCCCCCGGGCUUCUUUUGGGACAUGGUUUCAAAUGACAAAAAACAAGAGCCUACCUGCCUCAUCAAGAUGAGCACAUUCCAUCAAGAUGGGCCUUCUGACCAUGUCUCUUCUGAUUUCAUUUGAAACUGUCGGAAACUGUUCAAAACUCUGAGUUUUUGAGACAUCUGGUGUUAAAGGAGGAUUAGAAUGAUAGUCAGUCACCUUCAAAUGACAAUAGAAAAAGUUUGUGGAGCAACCGUUCUUUAGAGCUCUCAUAAAGAUGUGGGCUGCUGACAUUGCUUUUUCAUAAGUCACUGUCAGCUCUUUUUUUAGUCAGUCUGGGAACAUCUUUACUGAAGUUUAUGUGAAUGGAACCAGUUUAUUGUGCUUUUAAAUACCCUGUAUUUUCAGGCCAAUUAAUUAAGCCGCCCUUGCUGGAUAUUGUUCUUGCACUGAGACGCUGAAAGUGCGAGGGUGUGAUUUUGGAAUUCAUAAGGCUGCCAGGAUCGCUUAAAAGUGCAGAUUCUGUUGUGACCUUUUGAGCUACAAUUAUAAUGCAGUGGCUGGAAGAAUUAAAACCUGAAGUGCAGCUUGUAACGUGCUCCUGAGAGGUGUAAUCCAAAAAAGAAUGCUUGCUUUUUCAUGCUCACUUUGGUUUCAGCUCAAGGUUUUCUAUGUCACAACAGCAGAGCCCAUUAUGGCAGUGGAUUUUCAGAAAAUUUUCAACACUGAAGGUGCACAAUACAAAAUAUAAAGUGUGAUAUAAGAUCAGGUACAUGUCCAGAUAGAAUAUAGGGGGGGCUUGAGCCCAUGCCCUUUUUUCCUCAGACAGUACAAUUGCCCUCUUGGUGGCUGUGUAUAAUAAUUAUGUUUAAUGUGACCAUUCUUCAAGAUCUGUUUCAGCAAGGGGAGGCUUAGUCUCGACCAAGCAACAGAGCUCAUGGGCCCGUUUGGGAUCCACUAGUUUCCUCACUGUUGGGUGCCCUCACUGAUGCUGUACCAUCUGUAGAGAUUUCAUCUCAGUGAAUGCUGACCUAUUGUGGAUGCAUGCAUACUGUCACGCAUCCUGCUGAGGACACCUCCUCUGCUUGUUCCCUUUCUCCUGUGGGCUCACUUGAUUCCAUGGACUGUGCUGAAAACUCCAUUUCCCAUGAUACAAUAGGAGACCACAUGACUUCUCCAUCAUCACCAUCAGCCAAUGGACUUCCUUUCAGUGCUCCACCUCACCAGAGUUUUGACUUUGCACACCUGUUUUCUAUUACGUUUAACCAGUUAGUCAGUAUAUAAGCCCAGGCUUUAGUUUAGCUGCUUGUGAAGUAUAGCCAAAAUUUUCUGUUGUGUACUGAGUGGCUUCUGUCUGUAAGCCUUAUCGGCAUAUGACUUGUUUUUGUGUGUGUUAACCUUGCCUUUUUGUCUUUUUCUUGUUUGUUUGGAUUGCUGAACAUUAUUGAACUCUUGGUUUUUUAAACCUGAACUGGUCAAUGGA